AAAGAUAUCGCGGUACAGCCUUUAAUGCCUUCACUGGAACCGUCUGCCUGAGUUAGAGAUCAGAGAUCAGAGGGGAAUGAAGAGUUACAUAUUAAGCGUGACUGACUGAUACCUAGUGAAUGUUUGAGGUGAAUUGGCACUAAAAGUACUGGUGGCGAAAAGCAGCGCAGAAACUGGCCAUUCGGCCCGUCAAAUCUGUCCUGUUAUUUCCACUGACGUUAAUCCUGUAUCAAACACAAAGU